rnacentral:rRNA from 1 species
UACGUAGGGGGCAAGCGUUGUUCGGAUUUACUGGGCGUAAAGGGCGCGUAGGCGGCAAUUCAAGUCAUCUGUGAAAUCUCCGGGCUUAACUCGGAACGGUCAGAUGAUACUGCUUUGCUAGAGUGCAGAAGGGGCAAUCGGAAUUCUUGGUGUAGCGGUGAAAUGCGUAGAUAUCAGGAGGAACACCUGUGGCGAAAGCGGCUCACUGGACCACAACUGACGCUGAUGCACGAAAGCUAGGGGAGCAAACAGG